CCUACGGGAGGCAGCAGUGGGGAAUCUUGCGCAAUGGGCGAAAGCCUGACGCAGCCAUGCCGCGUGAAUGAUGAAGGUCUUAGGAUUGUAAAAUUCUUUCACCGGGGACGAUAAUGACGGUACCCGGAGAAGAAGCCCCGGCUAACUUCGUGCCAGCAGCCGCGGUAAUACGAAGGGGGCUAGCGUUGCUCGGAAUUACUGGGCGUAAAGGGAGCGUAGGCGGAUAGUUUAGUCAGAGGUGAAAGCCCAGGGCUCAACCUUGGAAUUGCCUUUGAUACUGGCUAUCUUGAGUUUGGGAGAGGUGAGUGGAACUCCGAGUGUAGAGGUGAAAUUCGUAGAUAUUCGGAAGAACACCAGUGGCGAAGGCGACUCACUGGCCCAAUACUGACGCUGAGGCUCGAAAGCGUGGGGAGCAAACAGGAUUAGAUACCCUGGUAGUCCACGCCGUAAACGAUGAGUGCUAGUUGUCGGCANGNANGCAUGUCGGUGACGCNGCUACGCAUAGCACNCCGCCGUGGGAGGUACGGUCGCGAGAGUAAACGUACUAAUUAGAAGUAGACGGCGUGAGACGNGCCGACGGACGACGACGAGGGAGGAGG
rnacentral:rRNA from 1 species